AAAUUGAAGAGUUUGAUCAUGGCUCAGAUUGAACGCUGGCGGCAGGCCUAACACAUGCAAGUCGAGCGGUAGCACAGAGAGCUUGCUCUCGGGUGACGAGCGGCGGACGGGUGAGUAAUGUCUGGGAAACUGCCUGAUGGAGGGGGAUAACUACUGGAAACGGUAGCUAAUACCGCAUAACGUCGCAAGACCAAAGUGGGGGACCUUCGGGCCUCAUGCCAUCAGAUGUGCCCAGAUGGGAUUAGCUAGUAGGUGAGGUAACGGCUCACCUAGGCGACGAUCCCUAGCUGGUCUGAGAGGAUGACCAGCCACACUGGAACUGAGACACGGUCCAGACUCCUACGGGAGGCAGCAGUGGGGAAUAUUGCACAAUGGGCGCAAGCCUGAUGCAGCCAUGCCGCGUGUGUGAAGAAGGCCUUCGGGUUGUAAAGCACUUUCAGCGGGGAGGAAGGCGUUAAGGUUAAUAACCUUGGCGAUUGACGUUACCCGCAGAAGAAGCACCGGCUAACUCCGUGCCAGCAGCCGCGGUAAUACGGAGGGUGCAAGCGUUAAUCGGAAUUACUGGGCGUAAAGCGCACGCAGGCGGUCUGUCAAGUCGGAUGUGAAAUCCCCGGGCUCAACCUGGGAACUGCAUUCGAAACUGGCAGGCUAGAGUCUUGUAGAGGGGGGUAGAAUUCCAGGUGUAGCGGUGAAAUGCGUAGAGAUCUGGAGGAAUACCGGUGGCGAAGGCGGCCCCCUGGACAAAGACUGACGCUCAGGUGCGAAAGCGUGGGGAGCAAACAGGAUUAGAUACCCUGGUAGUCCACGCUGUAAACGAUGUCGAUUUGGAGGUUGUGCCCUUGAGGCGUGGCUUCCGGAGCUAACGCGUUAAAUCGACCGCCUGGGGAGUACGGCCGCAAGGUUAAAACUCAAAUGAAUUGACGGGGGCCCGCACAAGCGGUGGAGCAUGUGGUUUAAUUCGAUGCAACGCGAAGAACCUUACCUGGUCUUGACAUCCACAGAACUUUCCAGAGAUGGAUUGGUGCCUUCGGGAACUGUGAGACAGGUGCUGCAUGGCUGUCGUCAGCUCGUGUUGUGAAAUGUUGGGUUAAGUCCCGCAACGAGCGCAACCCUUAUCCUUUGUUGCCAGCGGUUAGGCCGGGAACUCAAAGGAGACUGCCAGUGAUAAACUGGAGGAAGGUGGGGAUGACGUCAAGUCAUCAUGGCCCUUACGACCAGGGCUACACACGUGCUACAAUGGCAUAUACAAAGAGAAGCGACCUCGCGAGAGCAAGCGGACCUCAUAAAGUAUGUCGUAGUCCGGAUUGGAGUCUGCAACUCGACUCCAUGAAGUCGGAAUCGCUAGUAAUCGUAGAUCAGAAUGCUACGGUGAAUACGUUCCCGGGCCUUGUACACACCGCCCGUCACACCAUGGGAGUGGGUUGCAAAAGAAGUAGGUAGCUUAACCUUCGGGAGGGCGCUUACCACUUUGUGAUUCAUGACUGGGGUGAAGUCGUAACAAGGUAACCGUAGGGGAACCUGCGGUUGGAUCACCUCCUUA
rnacentral:rRNA from 1 species